rnacentral:sRNA from 1 species
CCUUCCUGUUCUUGUUCUCCCUCAUCUUCCUCUUCCUUCUUCUCCCUCUUCUUCCUCUUCACUCUGCUCUCCUCUCUUCUUUUCCCCUUUCCUCUCCUCUCCCUUUCCUCAGGUCACAGCGGAGUGAAUCAGCUCGGUGGUGUCUUUGUCAACGGGCGGCCACUGCCGGACUCCACCCGGCAGAAGAUUGUAGAGCUAGCUCACAGCGGGGCCCGGCCGUGCGACAUUUCCCGAAUUCUGCAGGUGUCCAACGGAUGUGUGAGUAAAAUUCUGGGCAGGUAUUACGAGACUGGCUCCAUCAGACCCAGGGCAAUCGGUGGUAGUAAACCGAGAGUAGCGACUCCAGAAGUUGUAAGCAAAAUAGCCCAGUAUAAGCGGGAGUGCCCGUCCAUCUUUGCUUGGGAAAUCCGAGACAGAUUACUGUCCGAGGGGGUCUGUACCAACGAUAACAUACCAAGUGUAAGUUCAUUGAGAACAUCUGCCCUCCCUGCCCUAAGCCCAAUGCUCUCUCCUCUUUACCUCCUCCCACCCACUUUCUCCACUGUCUCUUAGUCUGUGUCCUCUCCCUGCUCCACAUUUGUCUCCUUUGUACCUGGGGGAACAGAGAGGAAUGCCCUGACCUUUCUUUGACUGUCUGGAAAAUGGGAGUCAAGUGUGGGGAGUCGUUCACUUCAUUUGCAUGCUGCAAAACAGAGGGCGGAGGCACCAGGGAAAGGCACUUGAAUGAAGAAGAAAAAUGAGAACCAGAUUGUAACUUCGUCCCAAUCCACCUGCCAGAACUUUCCUUCAGGUGUCACACAUCCAUUUCCAUCCUAAUAUUAAACAAUAUGAUGAAAGAAAGCUUUACACCAAGUCUAAAUAGUUUUUAUUUUCGGGCAGUCUUUUAACAAAGCAAAGCAACCGUGUGAGUUAGGUCACCAGAGACACCAAGCAAUGGUGAAGGACCCCCUCCCCCCAAUUCUCUAUUCAACUAAACUUCCAUGCCCAAAAUGAUAGCUAUCAUUUUUUCCACGGUGUAUCUGCAAAUCCACCCACUGUCCCGGGGUGGCUGGGAGCUUUUUAAUGGGUUGAGAGUUGCUUUUUAAGGUGGUGGGUGAGCUGAGAUGGGUGACUGUGUCUUCAGGAGACACUACCAUUUGGUUUGAUUUUGGUUUGAUUUGCAGGUGUCAUCAAUAAACAGAGUUCUUCGCAACCUGGCUAGCGAAAAGCAACAGAUGGGCGCAGACGGCAUGUAUGAUAAACUAAGGAUGUUGAACGGGCAGACCGGAAGCUGGGGCACCCGCCCUGGUUGGUAUCCGGGGACUUCGGUGCCAGGGCAACCUACGCAAGAUGGCUGCCAGCAACAGGAAGGAGGGGGAGAGAAUACCAACUCCAUCAGUUCCAAUGGAGAAGAUUCAGAUGAGGCUCAAAUGCGACUUCAGCUGAAGCGGAAGCUGCAAAGAAAUAGAACAUCCUUUACCCAAGAGCAAAUUGAGGCCCUGGAGAAAGAGUUUGAGAGAACCCAUUAUCCAGAUGUGUUUGCCCGAGAAAGACUAGCAGCCAAAAUAGAUCUACCUGAAGCAAGAAUACAGGUAUGGUUUUCUAAUCGAAGGGCCAAAUGGAGAAGAGAAGAAAAACUGAGGAAUCAGAGAAGACAGGCCAGCAACACACCUAGUCAUAUUCCUAUCAGCAGUAGUUUCAGCACCAGUGUCUACCAACCAAUUCCACAACCCACCACACCUGUUUCCUCCUUCACAUCUGGCUCCAUGUUGGGCCGAACAGACACAGCCCUCACAAACACCUACAGCGCUCUGCCGCCUAUGCCCAGCUUCACCAUGGCAAAUAACCUGCCUAUGCAAGACUCAUUUCCCCUGGUGUGUCAGUUCCAGUUCAAGUUCCUGGAAGUGAACCUGAUAUGUCUCAAUACUGGCC